rnacentral:rRNA from 1 species
AGCGGCGGAUGGGUGAGUAACACGUGGGGAACCUGCCCCUAAGUCUGGGAUACCAUUUGGAAACGGGUGCUAAUACCGGAUAAUAAAGCAGAUCGCACGAUCAGCUUUUGAAAGGCGGCGUAAGCUGUCGCUAAGGGAUGGCCCCGCGGUGCAUUAGCUAGUUGGUAAGGUAACGGCUUACCAAGGCGACGAUGUAUAGCCGAGUUGAGAGACUGAUCGGCCACAUUGGGACUGAGACACGGCCCAAACUCCUACGGGAGGCAGCAGUAGGGAACCUUCCACAAUGGACGCAAGUCUGAUGGAGCAACGCCGCGUGAGUGAAGAAGGUUUUCGGAUCGUAAAGCUCUGUUGUUGGUGAAGAAGGAUAGAGGUAGUAACUGGCCUUUAUUUGACGGUAAUCAACCAGAAAGUCACGGCUAACUACGUGCCAGCAGCCGCGGUAAUACGUAGGUGGCAAGCGUUGUCCGGAUUUAUUGGGCGUAAAGCGAGCGCAGGCGGAAAAAUAAGUCUAAUGUGAAAGCCCUCGGCUUAACCGAGGAACUGCAUCGGAAACUGUUUUUCUUGUGUGCAGAAAGAGGAGAGUGGAACUCCAUGUGUAGCGGUGGAAAUGCGUAGAUAUAUGGGAAGAACACCAGUGGCGAAGGCGGCUCUCUGGGUCUGCAACUGACGCUGAGGUUCGAAAGCAUGGGUAGCGAACAGGAUUAGAUACCCUGGUAAGUCCAUGCCGUAAAACGAUGAGUGCUAAAGUGU